UACGUAGGGCGCAAGCGUUAUCCGGAAUUAUUGGGCGUAAAGAGCUCGUAGGCGGUUUGUCGCGUCUGCCGUGAAAGUCCGGGGCUCAACUCCGGAUCUGCGGUGGGUACGGGCAGACUAGAGUGAUGUAGGGGAGACUGGAAUUCCUGGUGUAGCGGUGAAACGCGCAGAUAUCAGGAGGAACACCGGUGGCGAAGGCGGGUCUCUGGGCCGUAACUGACGCUGAGGAGCGAAAGCAUGGGGAGCGAACAGG
rnacentral:rRNA from 1 species